rnacentral:lncRNA from 1 species
GGGGGGAGGGGGUCCAUGUGAAAAAUAAUGAAUAGUACAUUAUACUUUAAAUGAUUGAAUACAUAAAUGAAAUUAUGUUACAGCAAGUGUACAUGUAAUGUCAAUAAAUUAGUGAAUAAACUACUAUUUAUUAUAUUCAUGGUAGUACUGCAUCAUUGAAGUUUGUCAAUCAGCCAUGCUUUUAUUCUUAUUCUGUGUAAGAACCUCCUUGCAGUUGAAAAAUCAUUUGCCAUGUUCACGUUUUUACAAUUCUGACCAACAAACAGAGGAAUACAACACAAGUUCAAUAUCUAGCAUGUUAAAAUAAUCUUGAGAGAAAACGUUUUUGAUUGGCUGAUUAAUUUGAUCAUGAGAAACACACAAUUUGAUUGGCUGAACACGAUUUUCCUCCAUUGGACACAGUUCAAAAUCGGGAACAACAAUAUUUUUCGUGUAGAUUUUCACCAAAUCGUGUUUUAGAGGGUUUUUCAGGAACACGAUCGUGCAAUCGUGACAAAGGGUCAAAAUCGUGUAGUACACGCCUAAAUCGUGAAAGUUGGCAGGUAUGAACAUAGU